UGGGGAAUCUUGCGCAAUGGGCGAAAGCCUGACGCAGCAACGCCGCGUGCGGGAAGAAGGCCUUCGGGUUGUAAACCGCUUUCAGCAGGAACGAAAAUGACGGUACCUGCAGAAGAAGGUGCGGCCAACUACGUGCCAGCAGCCGCGGUGACACGUAGGCACCAAGCGUUGUCCGGAUUUAUUGGGCGUAAAGAGCUCGUAGGCGGUUCAGUAAGUCGGGUGUGAAAAACUCUGGGCUUAACCCAGAGCCGCCACCCGAUACUGCUGUGACUAGAGUCCGGUAGGGGAGUGGGGAAUUCCUAGUGUAGCGGUGAAAUGCGCAGAUAUUAGGAGGAACACCGGUGGCGAAGGCGCCACUCUGGGCCGGAACUGACGCUGAGGAGCGAAAGCGUGGGUAGCAAACAGGGAUUAGAUACCCUGGUAGUCCACGCCGUAAACGUUGGGCACUAGGUGUGGGCCUCAACCAACGAGGUCCGUGCCGUCGCUAACGCA
rnacentral:rRNA from 1 species